GUAUUAAUUGAGGUUCAUUCACACCUAAG
rnacentral:piRNA from 1 species